rnacentral:lncRNA from 1 species
UUUUUUCUCUACACAAAUCUCAUUUCAUAAGUUUUGUUUUCUUAUAUUUGAAAAUUAUUUGGUUUUAUUUGGUUUUGUUAUACCUUCAUUCUUAAAGCAGCGAUAUUAGAAAUUUUGUUAAAAUAUUUUGUUGGAGCUUAUCAUUUUUUGUGGUCUCCAUUACAAAAGUCGCGUUUUCUUCAGUAGAAGUUGCUUGAGUUAAUUUGUAUUUUGACAAAUUGCUAUUGUCACUGCUUCACUGAUUACGCUUGAGACAAAUUUCCAUAUUUUAUAUGCAUAACUCUUUUGCUAA